rfam:TPA: Bos taurus chromosome 13, whole genome shotgun sequence.
UCCCUGGUGGCUCAGAGGUUAAGGUGUCUGCCUCCAAUGCAGGAGACCCUGGUUCAAUCCCUGGGUCGGGAA